rnacentral:rRNA from 1 species
UAGGGAAUCUUCGGCAAUGGACGCAAGUCUGACGGAGCAACGCCGCGUGUGUGAAGAAGGACUUCGGUUCGUAAAACUCUUUUGUUAGAGAAGAACAGCGCAUAGAGUAACUGUUAUGCGUGUGACGGUAUCUAACCAGAAAGCCACGGCUAACUACGUGCCAGCAGCCGCGGUAAUACGUAGGUGGCAAGCGUUGUCCGGAUUUAUUGGGCGUAAAGCGAGCGCAGGCGGUUAGAAAAGUCUGAAGUGAAAGGCAGUGGCUCAACCAUUGUAGGCUUUGGAAACUGUUAAACUUGAGUGCAGAAGGGGGGAGGGGAAUUCCGUGUGUAGCGGUGAAAUGCGUAGAUAUAUGGCGAAACACCGGUGGCGAAAGCGGCUCUCUGGUCUGAAACUGACGCUGAGGCUCGAAAGCGUGGCGAGCGAACAGG